rnacentral:rRNA from 2 species
UCGAGCGGACAGAUGGGAGCUUGCUCCCUGAUGUUAGCGGCGGACGGGUGAGUAACACGUGGGUAACCUGCCUGUAAGACUGGGAUAACUCCGGGAAACCGGGGCUAAUACCGGAUGCUUGUUUGAACCGCAUGGUUCAAACAUAAAAGGUGGCUUCGGCUACCACUUACAGAUGGACCCGCGGCGCAUUAGCUAGUUGGUGAGGUAAUGGCUCACCAAGGCAACGAUGCGUAGCCGACCUGAGAGGGUGAUCGGCCACACUGGGACUGAGACACGGCCCAGACUCCUACGGGAGGCAGCAGUAGGGAAUCUUCCGCAAUGGACGAAAGUCUGACGGAGCAACGCCGCGUGAGUGAUGAAGGUUUUCGGAUCGUAAAGCUCUGUUGUUAGGGAAGAACAAGUGCCGUUCAAAUAGGGCGGCACCUUGACGGUACCUAACCAGAAAGCCACGGCUAACUACGUGCCAGCAGCCGCGGUAAUACGUAGGUGGCAAGCGUUGUCCGGAAUUAUUGGGCGUAAAGGGCUCGCAGGCGGUUUCUUAAGUCUGAUGUGAAAGCCCCCGGCUCAACCGGGGAGGGUCAUUGGAAACUGGGGAACUUG